UACACACCGCCCGUCACACCAUGGGAGUGGGUUGCACCAGAAGUAGCUAGUCUAACCGCAAGGGGGACGGUUUACCACGGUGUGAUUCAUGACUGGGGUG
rnacentral:rRNA from 1 species